ACGUAAAUCAUAAUCAGAAGGAUUAGUCACAAAAAUUAAAUAAAAAUAAAAAGUGGAGGUAAACGUAAAUAAAUUCAUACCGUGACUAAUCGCAAUCCUGAGGAAGCAUCGCUCAGUGACGAUUUUAUUUCACACAGAUGAAAUGUUACAGUGUGCACACAUUCAAAGAGCCGUAACUGGUUGCAACAUCUGUUAUCAUUGCUCAGCGUGCCACCGUUCAUUGCCGACAUAUAGUAAUGAAGAACACAAACAAGCAAUUAUAAAUUGUGAAAUUGUGCAAAAUCAUAAAACAGUUUUUUUUUUUUGUUCGUUGCCAGCAGUCCACAUUGGGUACCUACCCUACGUUCUUGAGAGAAAAAAAAAGUAUAUUUGGUCAUAAAAGCAUUCAGGCGAAGGUACAUAAGAUGUUUGCAAGUGCAAAAGUCUACUUCCCUGUACAGAAAUGAUCACCGUGCACCACGUACACGCCGUAGGGUGCACCUAUUGCCAGAAGGCCAUACCCACAAGGCCUCCAGACAUGGCGCACCCAUGACGCAUCAUGGCCGGCGACCCGAGAGAGACCAGGAGUACUAAAUUUAAGCUGUGAGAAUACACUACACACUAGCACACAUACACAUUA
rnacentral:lncRNA from 1 species